rfam:Streptomyces sp. 4F, complete genome.
CGCUCAUCCAGAGGGGCAGAGGGACACGGCCCGAUGAAGCCCCGGCAACCCUCCAGUCGGUACUUGUCACGCGGACGUGGCGAGGCUCCCGGCUAGGGAAGGUGCCAAAUCCGUCUCACGGCGAAGUGCGUCGUGAGGAAGAUGAGGA